rnacentral:rRNA from 1 species
UACGUAGGGUGCGAGCGUUGUCCGGAAUUACUGGGCGUAAAGAGCUCGUAGGUGGUUUGUCGCGUUGUUCGUGAAAACUCACAGCUCAACUGUGGGCGUGCGGGCGAUACGGGCAGACUGGAGUACUGCAGGGGAGACUGGAAUUCAUGGUGUAGCAGUGAAAUGCGUAGAGAUCAUGAGGAAGACCAGUGGCGAAGGCGGGUCUCUGGACAGUUCCUGACACUGAGGCACGAAGGCCAGGGGAGCAAACGGG